GUGCCUAUAAAUGUACUCGUGUUAAAUAAAAUAAUUGGUAUAUGUAUAAUUAUAUUGCAUUUCCUUGAUUUCGAAUGCCUACAAUUUUUAAAUAUUGAAUACAUGUUAUAUCUUCUUUUUCAUAAGCAUUCCAGUUAUCAGUUAUAUAUUUAGUUUUAAGUACAGAUUCUUUUCGAAUGUAAUUGAAUUGAUUUUUGUUUACACUAUUUUGGGUGUGGAUAGUAAAAUGGUGCAUUAAAAAUUAUUUUCAAAAACUUAUACAAUACACCUAUGUACAUAUAUUUAUUAACUAUAUACUACAUAUUGUUCCUAUAAACUAUAGUGCCCAAACGUGUUGUGAUUUUGUACCCAAACGUGCCGAAAUUUGGAUUAAAAUACCCAAACGUGUUGUAGCCCCGGAAUUAGCUCGGGUGUCAAACAAUUUUAACGACAGGUACAUUUUUUUACUGCGAGUUUUAAUUGGUAUAAUAUCGGUUAAAAUUGGUGUAUGCCUGCAGGAGUGGCCCCAGAAAUUCCCGAUGGAGGAAAUGGAGUAUUUUAAAUGAGUGAAUCGCAAGAAAAAUGAUGUGGGCACGAUUAGCAACGAUUAAUCGAAAUUAAUUCAACACACCAUUAGUUAGAUAAGUUAUCAAAUUUAUUUUUCUGUUCGCAUAAUAUGUUCGUCAUCUUUGGGAUAGAGUGAUAAUAGUGAUAUAAACUAAUGCAUAAAUCAGUUUUGACUUCUAAACGCGCAGCAUUGUUUCUGGAACCUUGUUCGGGACAUGAUAACAUUUCUAAUUAAGGUUUUAUAUUAUAUUUAGUGUCCUUCAAUUAAGUAAUCAAACCUUAAGUAGGCAGGUACUCCGAAACAUAAUUAGUCGUUGAAAUUACGUUUCAUUUAUCCAUCGACCGUCGUCGUAUCAUUGGGUCCUUACUUAUUAAACAGUACAUGUACUUACAAGAGUU